rnacentral:rRNA from 1 species
UUGAACGCUGGCGGCAGGCCUAACACAUGCCAGUCGAGCGGAUGAAGGGAACUUGCUCCUGGAUUCAGCGGCGGACGGGUGAGUAAUGCCUAGGAAUCUGCCUGGUAGUGGGGGAUAACGUCCGGAAACGGGCGCUAAUACCGCAUACGUCCUGAGGGAGAAAGUGGGGGAUCUUCGGACCUCACGCUAUCAGAUGAGCCUAGGUCGGAUUAGCUAGUUGGUGGGGUAAAGGCCUACCAAGGCGACGAUCCGUAACUGGUCUGAGAGGAUGAUCAGUCACACUGGAACUGAGACACGGUCCAGACUCCUACGGGAGGCAGCAGUGGGGAAUAUUGGACAAUGGGCGAAAGCCUGAUCCAGCCAUGCCGCGUGUGUGAAGAAGGUCUUCGGAUUGUAAAGCACUUUAAGUUGGGAGGAAGGGCAGUAAGUUAAUACCUUGCUGUUUUGACGUUACCAACAGAAUAAGCACCGGCUAACUUCGUG